UACGAAGGGGGCUAGCGUUGCUCGGAAUUACUGGGCGUAAAGGGCGCGUAGGCGGACAGCUUAGUCAGAGGUGAAAGCCCAGGGCUCAACCUUGGAAUUGCCUUUGAUACUGGCUGUCUUGAGUUUGGGAGAGGUGUGUGGAACUCCGAGUGUAGAGGUGAAAUUCGUAGAUAUUCGGAAGAACACCAGUGGCGAAGGCGACACACUGGCCCAAUACUGACGCUGAGGCGCGAAAGCGUGGGGAGCAAACAGG
rnacentral:rRNA from 1 species